GUAGGUGGCAAGCGUUGUCCGGGAAUUAUUGGGCGUAAAGCGCGCGCAGGCGGUUCGUUUAAGUCUGAUGUGAAAGCCCACGGGCUCAACCGUGGAGGGUCAUUGGAAACUGGAGAACUUGAGUACAGAAGAGGAAAGCGGAAUUCCACGUGUAGCGGUGAAAUGCGUAGAGAUGUGGAGGAACACCAGUGGCGAAGGCGGCUUUCUGGUCUGUAACUGACGCUGAGGCGCGAAAGCGUGGGGAGCAAACAGGAUUAGAUACCCUGGUAGUCCACGCCGUAAACGAUGAGUGCUAAGUGUUAGGGGGUUUCCGCCCCUUAGUGCUGCAGCUAACGCAUUAAGCACUCCGCCUGGGGAGUACGGCCGCAAAGGCUG
rnacentral:rRNA from 1 species